rnacentral:rRNA from 1 species
UUGACGGGGCCCGCACAAGCGGAGGAGCAUGUGGUUUAAUUCGAUGAUACGCGAGGAACCUUACCUGGGCUCGAACGUAAGAUGACUGUAGGUGAAAGCUUACAUCUCUUCGGAGCAUUUUACGAGGUGCUGCAUGGUUGUCGUCAGCUCGUGCCGUGAGGUGUCGGGUUAAGUCCCAUAACGAGCGCAACCCUACCUUUAGUUGCCAUCAGGUUAAGCUGGGGACUCUAAAGGAACUGCCUACGCAAGUAGUGAGGAAGGCGGGGAUGACGUCAAAUCAGCACGGCCCUUACGUCCAGGGCUACACACGUGCUACAAUGGCCGAUACAGAGGGCAGCUACCUGGUGACAGGAUGCAAAUCUCCAAAGUCGGUCUCAGUUCGGAUCGGAGUCUGCAGCCCGACUCCGUGAAGUUGGAUUCGCUAGUAAUCGCGCAUCAGCCAUGGCGCGGUGAAUACGUUCCCGGGCCUU